rnacentral:lncRNA from 1 species
CAAUUUCAGAUUCAGGGCGCGGAUGCAGCAUAAAUGGGAAGGCACGGUUUGAGAAACGGUCAAACCUAGGACCAGUGGAGGAUAGUGAGCUGCCGACUACGGUGGCCGACUGGGUCAGCUAUGGGUGCCCGUGAGGGUCAAUGACAAGGGUACUGAAGGGUUAAGAGAUUCGGCGUCUGAGCCUCGCGGGGCCUCAGUGGUGGCGGGCAGAGGUUCUUUCUGGCAAAGGUAAUGACAUACGCAUCUGUGACAGCAUCCCAAGAGUGAGCCUGGUUUCUGGAAAUCCAUUCUGACUCUGUGACAGCGGGGAUGGAUGUGACCUUGCCCGUGGUUAGAAAACAAAUUUACUGAGAUCUAAUCCAGGAUCAUAUGCUGCCUUUAGGUGACACAUCCCUUUAGUCUCCUUUAAUUAGGAGCAGUUUCUCAGUGUUCAUCUUCCAUGAAGUCGACAUUUUUUAAGAGUAUAGGUGUCAGAUCUUUUCCAAGAACAGCAGAAAAUGAUCGAAUACCA